UACGUAGGGUGCGAGCGUUGUCCGGAAUUAUUGGGCGUAAAGAGCUUGUAGGCGGUUUGUCGCGUCUGCUGUGAAAUUUCGGGGCUCAACCCCGGACUUGCAGUGGGUACGGGCAGACUAGAGUGUGGUAGGGGAGACUGGAAUUCCUGGUGUAGCGGUGAAAUGCGCAGAUAUCAGGAGGAACACCGAUGGCGAAGGCAGGUCUCUGGGCCACUACUGACGCUGAGAAGCGAAAGCAUGGGGAGCGAACAGG
rnacentral:rRNA from 1 species